AUAGAGACGSUCUCACGAGCUAAGUCCCCCACCCUUGCGUAUUUAUACUUUGUUGCUUUGGCGGGUUGUUCAGCCCUAAACCGUUGAGCCUUUAGCUUUCACAAGCCGAAGAGUCGCCCGCCAGAGGAUACCAAAAUUCUUAUUAUCAAUGUCGUCUGAGUACUAUAUAAUAGUUAA
rnacentral:rRNA from 1 species